GAUGAAGAACGUAGUGAAUUGCGAUAAGUAAUGUGAAUUGCAGAAUCUCGUGAAUCAUCGAAUCUUUGAACGCACAUUGCGCCCUAUGGUAUUCCGUAGGGCAUGCCUGUCUGAGCGUCAGCAUCACCCUCCCAAGUGGUAUUGCAUUUGGGGACUCAUUGGAUAAGAAGGUUAAGCCUCCUAUGGGUGCAAUUCUUCUGUCCAGAAAUCUAUAGGCAGUAUUGGUUUGUUCUCCUAUACUGGGCGUAAUAAUUGGUUAUAUUCUCGUCUGGAAAAGGUGAAUAAGUGCUUGCCUUGAACCCACAAAUUUAUCUUAACUGGGUGACCUCAGAUCAGGUAGGGAUACCCGCUGAACUUAAGCAUAUCAAUAAGCGGAGGA
rnacentral:misc_RNA from 1 species